rnacentral:tRNA from 1 species
UAGAAUGUGGUGUAAAGGACACAGAAUUUUGAGUUCUUAGAUAUAGGUUCAAUUCCUAUUGUUCUAG